UACGGGGGGGGCAAGCGUUGUUCGGAAUUACUGGGCGUAAAGGGCUCGUAGGCGGCCAACUAAGUCAGACGUGAAAUCCCCAGGCUUAACCUGGGAACUGCGUCUGAUACUGGAUGGCUUGAAUCCGGGAGAGGGAUGCAGAAUUCCAGGUGUAGCGGUGAAAUGCGUAGAUAUCUGGAGGAAUACCGGUGGCGAAGGCGGCAUCCUGGACCGGCAUUGACGCUGAGUGAGCGAAAGCCAGGGGAGCAAACGGG
rnacentral:rRNA from 1 species